UACAUACUUCCUCCGUUCGGAAAUACUUGUCCUAAAGAUAAACGUAUCUAGACUUACUUUAGUUAUAGAUACAUUCAUUAUAUCUAUUUCUAGGACAAGUAUUUCCGGACGGAGGGAGUAUGUA
rfam:Hordeum vulgare subsp. vulgare, WGS project CAJW01000000 data, contig: morex_contig_1558280